AAGCCGUUGUUGAAGUCGAGUGAGUCGAGCAGCGCGGCUGCGGAUCGGUUGUUGGCUCACCUCAGUCAGCAUUUCGAGCCUGCAGAAGUUGGAAUACUGGCCAUAUGCUUUUGCAUGCCACUUGUUUCGAUUCGAGUUGGCAAGAUAGACAAGCAAGGGACUCUUCUUUGCCCCACAUCAACAAGGUAAAUGAAGUUCUGAUCUGUAUCGGUUUUCGGAUUCUUGUAUGUGAAUUGUCUGUUGGCUUGUGAGCAGCUUAGUUUGGUUUCUGCUGAUGAGUUGCCAAUGUUUUCCGGUAAUAUACAUAGUUCAGCUGCAGACUAAUUUUAUCAGUGGUGCUCUUUGGUUUACUAUUAGAAUUUUGUUUGUUAUCAAGUGAUUUUCCUUUACGUUUCUCAGUUGCUAUAUGGAUGAUUAUAAUUUUUGGAAGUUUAACAAGCUUAGAAUUGGCUUUAUUAGGAGUUGUAUUGUUUAUGUUCUGAUCUGUCGCAUUUAAGUGGUGCAUUUUCUGUCUUGUAUCUUGUUCCCUUCAUCUGGAGUUUAGUUCUUGUAAGCUUUCAUUUUGUAGUGCGAGUGCGUACUAUGUGUUUUGAUUGAGCAUUUGUUAGUUUUGUGUUUAGAGAACGGUUCUUCGUACGAUUUUUCUACAAUGUUUAAGGAGGAGUAUGCUUGCUGUUUUUCUGUUCCUAGAGUUCCUUAUCCUCAUUAUUUCAAAUUUGCUAGUUUUUAUUGCCAUUUUGUGUGGUGGAGUUCUGUCUUUUGGUUCUUAUUACAGCUAAGCUAUGUAAUGCUAAUUGUGGGCACCUCAUCAGGAGAUCAUGUUGUCAGUCUUCUUUGCAAGCAGCCAGUUUAAAAUAUUCUAGAUGAAAGUAUUUGACACAUAUUGAUAUACCAGUAAGUUUGUGUAAAGUAAACGUCAGAUGCUGGACCGUAACAGUUUUUUUGUUUUCUGAUGUAGUUCUCUUCUUGUUGGAAUUUUUUUGGAUACAUAUGGAUAUAGGUAUUGAUGGCAGUAAUAUUGGCUGAUGGACAGUAGUUUAUGUUUACCCUACUAUUUUCUCUCUUCAUAAUGGGAGAUUUACCCUCUUGACAAUUAUGUCAUA